rnacentral:rRNA from 1 species
GACGUAGGGCGCGAGCGUUGUCCGGAUUAUUGGGCGUAAAGAGCUCGUAGGCGGCUUGUCGCGUCGACUGUGAAAUCCCGCGGCUCAACCGCGGGUCUGCAGUCGAUACGGCAGGCUAGAGUUCGGUAGGGGAGACUGGAAUUCCUGGUGUAGCGGUGAAAUGCGCAGAUAUCAGGAGGAACACCGAUGGCGAAGGCAGGUCUCUGGGCCGAUACUGACGCUGAGGAGCGAAAGCGUGGGGAGCGAACAGG